AAGAAAUAUGCACUCACAUUCCUAAUUAGGGAUGAUAAGUUUAUAUUUCCUGUAAACUUUAUCGUUGUUCACUUUGAAGCUAAUGAUGACAUACCAAUAAUAUUUAGAAGAGCUUUCCUUACUACUAUGCUGCUAGCUAGGAGAACCAUGAUUGAUGUACAAAAGGGUGAAUUGACAAUGAAAGUGAAUGACCAUCCCAUUAAUUAAUUUCAACAUACCUAAUGCUAUGAAAUAUCAUGAUGAGGUCAAGAAUGCUCAUUUCUCACUUAUAAGAUAAGUGGAUUCCUGAGUUCACAAAUAUUUAUUGCAAGAGGACCUUGUAGAGUUGAAAGAAUCAAAAGAUAUGGUGACAAGUGAAGAUUCAAGGAAAAAUUUGCCUUACAUUGAAGCACCACAUGUGUUAAGCCCUACUCAUACAAGAAAGACCAUGAUAAAAUA
rnacentral:lncRNA from 1 species